rnacentral:rRNA from 1 species
AACGAACGCUGGCGGCAUGCCUAACACAUGCAAGUCGAACGAGACCUUCGGGUCUAGUGGCGCACGGGUGCGUAACGCGUGGGAACCUGCCCUUAGGUUCGGAAUAACUCCCCGAAAGGGGUGCUAAUACCGGAUAAUGUCUUCGGACCAAAGAUUUAUCGCCUUUGGAUGGGCCCGCGUUGGAUUAGCUAGUUGGUAGGGUAAAAGCCUACCAAGGCGACGAUCCAUAGCUGGUCUGAGAGGAUGAUCAGCCACACUGGGACUGAGACACGGCCCAGACUCCUGCGGGAGGCAGCAGUGGGGAAUAUUGGACAAUGGGCGAAAGCCUGAUCCAGCAAUGCCGCGUGAGUGAUGAAGGCCUUAGGGUUGUAAAGCUCUUUUACCCGGGAUGAUAAUGACAGUACCGGGAGAAUAAGCUCCGGCUAACUCCG